rnacentral:rRNA from 1 species
UACGUAGGGUGCGAGCGUUAAUCGGAAUUACUGGGCGUAAAGCGUGCGCAGGCGGUCGUGCAAGACAGAUGUGAAAUCCCCGGGCUCAACCUGGGAACUGCAUUUGUGACUGCACGGCUGGAGUGCGGCAGAGGGGGAUGGAAUUCCGCGUGUAGCAGUGAAAUGCGUAGAUAUGCGGAGGAACACCGAUGGCGAAGGCAAUCCCCUGGGCCUGCACUGACGCUCAUGCACGAAAGCGUGGGGAGCAAACAGG